GCAAAGAAGACACAAGAAACAGACCUAUGGAAGAUGAAGUACGUGGAGCUAAGUCUCAAGGAUUAAUUUGCAUGUCAUAAAUUAAGCUCUUCCUUUGUUUCUGUUUAAUCUUGUCUCCUCCAUAUGAUGAGAGUGUUGAUAAUUUGCAGAUUCAAGACACAAUAACAAACCUAUGGUUGAAGUCGCAGGAGCUCCUUCCAUGCCGAAGAACACCGUAGAUGCUGGUCCACGUGAGAGGGCAAUUCUCUAUCGAUCCUGAUCUAUUCUCGUGUGAUCCACAAUGGAGUAGAUAGAUAGGAGAAAGGAUGUUGGCGAUUUUGGCGGCAAUCUGUUGAUACGCGCGAGAAAGAAAGGCAGUUUUACUGAUUUUAUGUAAUUAGAGAGAUACGGGCUGGUUGUUUUAGUGAUGGGGUCCACCAGGCCACGUGUUGGCCGCUGGUUGGCCCUGCACGAUAGUGUGUGCAGGGAUCCCAGCAGGAGAUCCCAUCCGAAAAAUUCACACCAGAAGAUUGCUAUCCUGCGAGAGUGAGAGGGAGACAGAUCCAGGCGAAGAAGAUCAGCUUCUCGAAGGAGUUGUGGCGGGGCGGUGCUGUUCGGGCGACCUACGCUGAGGUGGUCAAGGGCAUGGCAGGCAACAGGGGUGGGGGUCACCGUGGUGGAGGAGGUGGUACUGGCCGUGGAGAGGGGCCUCGCCCGAGCGGUCAGGUACACACUCAAAACCCUGGUCAGAUCCCGAGCCAAUCUGGUGACCUGAAUCCACAAGGGCCGCCACCGUUGCAGCAGAUGCAUCCAGGUAACUUCCAAAAUAUGCAACAAUUUGGGGGAGCUAGCAACUUACAAGGGAUGCCUCCUUGGCAUGGGAUGCAAUUUCCUCAGUUCAAUUAGUGGCCUCAGCAAUACUUGCCUGGUUUGCCUAGCUUGCCUGUGAUACACCAACAACAACAGCAGAUGCCAAUUAUGCACCAUCAGCAGCAGCAGAUGCAGUUUGGUCACGCCCCAGAGCAAAUGCAACCUGGUAAUCAGAUGCAAGGAUUUGGAGAGGGGCAGUCUAGCACUCACCAGCAGAUUUCUCAAAACCAAGAGAAGAGGAAAAGCAAGAGCUUCUCCCAGAAAGAGGUGCAAAGGAAAUCUGGAGAUGACAAGUCUGAAAGCUCUCAGAGCAGGAAUGAGGAAGUGGUGGUCAACUAUGAUCCAAAAAUGAGAGAUGUUAUAUGCUAUAACUGUGGAGAACCAGCACACUUUGUGGGAACAUGUCCAGUGCCCAAAAAGUGUUUCAUCUGUCACAAACCAGGGCACCAUAUGGACAACUGUUCGGAAUGGUACAAACCGCAAGCUACUGCUCAAUACUUUGGCAGUGCUAAUGCAGGGCUAGGUUUCUUUCACAUUGAAUCAGAUGGCAAAGAGGCUGUUAAAUGGCUAAAUAUGUCCAAUGUUUGUGUGGCUGUUAUUGAAGAAGGGUCCAUCACAACACAAGAGCUGAAGAACAAUUUCUCUGAGAUAUGGAAAACUAACUGGCCAUGGCAGGUGAGGCAGUUGACUGAGAAGAGGUUCCUAGUUAGGUUCCCACCUCACCAAAAGGUAAAAGAUUUGGUAGAGCUACCCUCCAUUAGUCUCAGAAAGAAAGGGGUGACAGUUUCUUUUGAUAAGUGGGAUGGAGAGGAGGUGGCCUAUGCUGAAUUGCAAGAGGUGUGGGUAACCAUGAUUCGGAUCCCUGUCAACAAACUCACUUGGAAAGUAAUCUCUCAGAUCACUUACAUCUUGGGGGUCUUGAUUAAUGUGGACUGGCAUGAGAUAUUUAGAAGUUUCUAUGAAAAGGUUAAAGUGCAGGUGGCUGUAAGGGACAUAUCAAAGAUCCCUACAGAAAGGCUGGUAGAGAUUGACAAGGAACUGUUUCUUAUUUGUUUCCUUGUUGACAUAGCUCCAGUUGCUGGAAGUGUGAACCCAAGUAAUAGUGGUGAAGAAAAAUCAGAUGAUGACCUGUUGGAGGGGAGUCCUGAAAGAGACAUGCAAAUGCAAGGCCCCAAAGACAUGGAAACUGACAAGAGCAAAAACCCCAAGUCUGGGGGCCCACCCCAAAAUUCACAAAAAGGUCCCACUAAGUCCAAGACCCCUGUGGAACUGGUGAAUUCACUAGAAAAAAGGGUGCAAAGUGCAAUACUGAGUCUGCAAAAUGACUCUCACAUGAAGAAGACUGUGGAGAAGAAAAACCCUGAAGACAACAUUGCUAUUCAACUGCUGGACCAAUUUGAUGAAGAGUCUGAUGGAGAUGGGGCCACUUUGGAGGUGCCAAAACCACAAAAGCACAAAUGGUGGCCUGUGGUGGCACCUAGAGUGAGCACGGAAUCAAAAGAGAUGGGAGGAAUGCUAUUCAAAAGGCUGAAGACCUCAGAAAGCUAAAAGAUCUAGAAGUUCCUAAAGGUGGUGCUGGGGAGAAUUGCAGGAUACUGCAACUCCUGGAAGAUCCUAUGCAAAGGAAAUGUAAAAGAGCGCGUGGAAAUGUUCACUGCGGCUAUAUGGGAGGAGGCAAGAAAACCACCGCUGCUGCUCUGGCCAGAGCCAGGCUGAAGAAGAACGAGCUCUGGCGGCUGUACUCUCUGCAAGAGAUGGGUGGCUUGGUGGGCAUGGAGGAGAGCCCGUUCCAUGGAGAGCUGAUGUGGCCUCCUGUCUCAUCUUAAAAUGUCGAGUAGCUAGUUUAUGUUUUAGCGUGUUUUAUCCAAACUGUUGCUUUAUUGCCUAGGUUCGGCGUUGCUGUUUUGCUCUGCAAAAAUGUUGCCGGAGAGAUACUCAAUCUCCUCCCGCGGUCUGUAAUAUGUUGUACUCGGUGUGUUUCAUUUUCUAUGGAAAUGGAACAGGGGCGGGGCUGCCCUUUUCUUCUAAAAAAAAAUAUAGUGUGA
rnacentral:rRNA from 1 species